rnacentral:misc_RNA from 1 species
AGCAUCCACAACUCUUUCCCUGCCCCGUUCUGUUCUUUGUUGACGAGUGUCACACCACGUACGCACACAUCAGAUCCUAUCCUUCGUUCACUGUCAUCAGUCGUGUACAGACGCUCCCAAGUUGGUGCACGUGCGCCUGCGUAGCACUCACUGGCCCACACACCACACACACACACACACUUAGUUCCUUAGUGCUUUAGCCUCUUCUUCUGUCUUCCGCGUUGCCCUCUUUUCGUUCCCCCCGCUUCGAUUGCGCAACCGCCCAGCGUACAAAAGCGCUACGACGCACCUUCCCCCCUCCCUCACGCAAAGAAAACGUUUCUGUGCAUCUCUUGCCCUCUCUACCGUCAUUGUGUCUGUGCGCGCAACGCCGUAGCGCCCGACUUGUUCUGGUGGACGACAUCACGGCGGAGUUUUCGUCUUCUCGCUCUCUCCGCUCUCAGCGAGUACCCACACCAUCCUCCAUCGCCGGCUUCGCCCCCCCUUCUUCCUCCGCCUGCAACGCACAGCUCCAAGAUGCUGCGCAAGGUUGCCCCCCGGCCGUACAAGACCAUGGUGCGCCGCAUGGCCACCACGGACGCGGCUGCGGAGCCGCACGCGAAGAAGGCUGUCCUUCAGCUUGUCCGCUUCGACCCCGAGACGAACUCGUCGCGCGUGGAGAGCUAUGAGUACGACAAGCACCACGAAUACAUGGUGUUGGACCUGCUCAUCGCCGUGAAGGCCCACCAAGACCCUACCCUGGCCUUCCGAAGCUCCUGCUGUGAGGGAGUGUGCGGUAGCUGCGCCAUGAACAUCAACGGUAUCAACUCGCUGGCAUGCAUCACGUUCGCCCAGCAAGUCACGACGGUCGCACCGCUGCCGAACUUCCCGGUGAUCAAGGAUUUUGUCGUGGACCUGCGCCACUUCUUUCAGCAGUACGCGUACAUUCGCCCGUUCGUUCGCAACGCCAACCUGCACCGAAGUCAGGUGGACAGCAUUGUGGAGCGGUACCACAGCGUCGCUCGCGUUCUGAGCGGUGUGAGCCCUUCUGAGGGGCAGGCGAUGGAGAAGGCGCAAGAGGAGCUCGCCUCUGUGCAGAAGAGGGAGACGACGGUGGCGGCUCUGCUGCGUAUUGCCGACGCUGCCGUGGAUGCCGGCAAUGCGACGCAGGCGCUCUCCGUGCUAGAGAAGGUGGAGCAGCAGGGCGUCGUGCUCGAUUCGACGAAGGUGACGGAGAUGAUUGAGCGCGCGCUCAAGAACUUCGCUGCCACAUCGAAGUGAAGCGUGACGCCGACGAAGGGCGCUAAGAAAGGGGGAUGAGGGACAGGAGCAGCUCACAACACAGAGGCCGAUGGCGAUGAUCGUCGACAACGACUGCGCCUCUCCCCUUGCCUGGGCACAGACUUACACAAUGCUCUCGCACACGUACACUGCGACAGCUCUGGGAGGGAGCGAAAUGCUCAGCUGUGUGUCUCUCUCAUGCAUGCCCUCAUCGCCGCCUCCGCCCAGAUGACAGGAGGCACACCGCAGUGCGUGGCAUCACAGGGCGCAGCAACCCCGCCACGCUCUGCGUGUGGGGAGAAGCCAAGCAGCCUCCACCUAUCCCAUGCCAAUGCCGAGCGAACCGCUGGUGGUGACGGGGCCCAGCACCCACGACGUAGGGGAGUCAGAGCGGUGCAUCGCUACGGAUGUCGGCGGUUGGGUCCUGGACGGCGGUGCGUCGGAGCGGCCUGCGACGGCGCACGUGCUUGCGCCUUUUAUAUGUGGCAGGCAGAGCUUCAACGCGACUUGAGCGUGCCCCACACACCAGGCCCUCGCACUGCCCACCUGGUGGGAGGAGCCCCGAGUGUCGCGCCGAGGGACGCCACCAGGGGUGGCGACCGGGGAUGGUGGGCGCGGCUGUGAGGCGACCCGCAACGCGGGUGAGUGGGUAGAGGUUUGGGGCAGGGGCUGUGCGCCGGUGACCGAGUCGGCGCACUGCUGCAACUCGUGUCUACGGCUUCUUCGCAGCACGGGAUGAGACCUGUGACUCGCCGGUUGGUGGCGCCUUACCUUGUGUGCCAUCUCCGCUUUUUGGGUGUCUCUUUGUUUUGUGGCGGCAUAUUUGCGCGGUGGUGUGCGCGCGCGGGCGGGCGUGUGAUGCGGUGGAGGGGGCCCUUGCGCGUGUCCGAUGUGUUUUGUGUUCUUCUUUCAUGUGCGCGGAGCUGUCCGUCUCCCGACCACGCCACGGGCACGCGCGCCGCUCUUUUUCGUCUCUGCGUGUGUCGUCUGUCUGUCAGUGGUUAAGGAUUAACAGCCGCCGCCAUUCAUGUCCGCGACUGCCCGCAGGUGGAGUGGCCCGACCUGCAGAGCUCCACGCAGCGUGGCGGAAGUAUCGCGCAGGGCAGCAGCGCCCUCUUUUGCUUUUUCGUGUGCGUUCGUAGACAGAGCAGCACACGGGCGCGCCCGUGAGGCUACACCUUAUUGGUAAAGAAGCAAGGGGGCAAAACGGAACGGAAGGCGGGCGGCUGAGGCACGAGAGAACCCGUUGCACACGCGUCUGCGCUAUGAGGGAGCGCUUCUAAGCUUGUGUAGUGACGGGGGCCGGAAGUGAUGAGGGAGUCGCAAGCUGUUACUCCUCUAGCCUUAACCGCCCCUCUCCCACUCUCUCCAUGCUUCCCCAAGCGUUGCGCAAGGGCCGCCAGUUGUCUUGACAGGGCU